UCGCCCCCCACCUCGUUCUGCUCCAUCGCCGAGACCCCAACCCUAGGGGAAAAGGAUGGGAUAGGAUUCAGGGGACAGUAAAGGCAACGGCAGCGACGACGAUGACCUGCAUCAAGAAGAACCGGAGGUACCCCAGAGGCCACGAUGGUGCCGGAGGCAUGCGCCACCACCGUGUGCUCCACGACAACCACCGUCCUAUGUACUCCAGCA
rnacentral:lncRNA from 1 species